ensembl:lncRNA
UGUGUGUCAUCUUACGCUUCUUGCACCAUGUACUUCUUCUCCAGUCCCUUCAGAAGUAUUCCCAGCGAGGAGACUGUGUUCAACGCUAGGGAUGCUGCUUUCCUCCAUUAUAGAGAUGGUUCACCUGGGCUAUGCCUCCUUCUGGGGCUCUGCUUCCUCCUGCCCUGGGAAGCAGGAUGUAGAGCAGAUGCCUUACUCCAGCUUUAGUUUGUUUUUUGGAGUGGAUUGAGAGGGAGGGUAGAGCAGAGAUUUCUGUUAAAGGGCACAGCUGAGGAAGCCUUGGGAAGGAUGGCAGCUGCAGGCAGCUUCAGCAGGCAAGUCAUUCUCCCCACCUGUAGCUUGUUCCAUCCUCAGAGUUCAUUCAGGUCACUUAGAGGUGAGAAAGCUUGAAAUAGGAUGCACACACAGCUCCCUUUGGAUCUUCCUCCAUGAUGUGGGUGUUAUCUGGAUGUUGCUUUUUGGAGAGAAGGAAAGAUGCAUUCUGAUGUGCAGAGAUACCUACAGGCCUUGAUCAUGCUUCAGCAACCAGCCCUGUGAAACUAACACAGCACAGGAUUACGGAGCUGAGCAAGUGAGGAAGGAGUCAGAGCAUUGGACUCUCCAUUUACCACCACCACAAAGAUGAUAAAACACUUCUCCACUUGGAGCCACUGUGGCUUCUGACUGCCAUGUCAUUUUCUGAGAGAAGCAGGAACUGAGAAUUUGGGAGUUUGAAGCACCCCUGAUAAUUUACUUACAGCCCAUAUUGUGCAAGAAGGAAGGUUGAGAAUCUGGAGAGCAUGAUAAUGAAACGGAGAGAAGAAAG